UGGUGGAGGUGAAAUACCCGUUCCCUUUCCGAACACGGAAGUCAAGCCCUCCCACGCCAAUGAUACUGCCCCACUACGGAGCGGGAAAGUAGGUCAUCGCCAGGC
rnacentral:rRNA from 1 species